rnacentral:snRNA from 1 species
AGCUUUGCGCAGUGGCAGUAUCGUAGCCAAUGAGGUUUAUCCGAGGCGCGAUUAUUGCUAAUUGGAUGUACAUUUCAACUUUGGGCAGUUCACUUCACCCACCUGGCCACCACUUUCCUCAUCUGCAAAAUGAGAAAAAUAAUCCUGAUCUUAAAAUGAAA